CCUACGGGAGGCAGCAGUGGGGGAUAUUGCACAAUGGGGGAAACCCUGAUGCAGCGACGCCGCGUGGGUGAAGACGCGCCUCGGCGCGUAAAGCCCUUUCAGCCGGGAAGAAAAUGACGGUACCUGCAGCAGAAGCCCCGGCUAACUACGUGCCAGCAGCCGCGGUAAUGCGUCGGGGGCAAGCGUUAUCCGGAUUUACUGGGGGGAAAGGGGGCGCAGACGGCGAUGCAAGCCAGGAGUGAAAGCCCGGGGCCCAACCCCGGGACUGCUCUUGGAACUGCGUGGCUAGAGUGCAGGAGGGGCAGGCGGAAUGCCUGGUGUAGCGGUGAAAUGCGUAGAUAUCAGGAGGAACACCGGUGGCGAAGGCGGCCUGCUGGACUGCAACUGACGUUGAGGCCCGAAAGCGUGGGGAGCAAACAGGAUUAGAUACCCGAGUAGUC
rnacentral:rRNA from 1 species